AGGACGAACGCUGGCGGCGUGCUUAACACAUGCAAGUCGAACGGUGAAGCCUUUCGGGGUGGAUCAGUGGCGAACGGGUGAGUAACACGUGGGCAAUCUGCCCUGCAUUCUGGGACAAGCCUUGGAAACGGGGUCUAAUACCGGAUAUGACCUGCCCUCCGCAUGGGGGUGGGUGGAAAGCUCCGGCGAUGCAGGAUGAGCCCGCGGCCUAUCAGCUUGUUGGUGGGGUGAUGGCCUACCAAGGCGACGACGGGUA
rnacentral:rRNA from 1 species